UAUUAUUCUGUAGGCACUUAUUCACUGCCUAUGAUGUGUGGCACUUCAUCAGUCCCAGUGGCGAAGGAAGAAGUUGCCGUUCCUGCCUGCCACAAACUGUCCAUUUAUUUGGAAGGAGAUGAUAAAUAGUACAACAAUUAGGAACGAUAAGCAAAAAUGAAAAGACAACAUUAUUUGUGUUAAGGUCUACCAGAUCCUUGUAACUUACUCAAGGCUGAGAAAAAUACAACAGUGUGCUGCUUGUAAAUUACCAAAGACAAUCAAACCAGCUGGCCCUACAGAGGUUUUUGUUGAGGAGGAAUACAACAGGCAGGAUUGAAGCAACUGCAUACAGCUGACCCAGCUGCAGAGGCUUUGACAGAAGUGCCAGAAGCAAGCUGUCAUUGGAGUGGACAGAGUGGAAGAGGAGGAAAUAUGGCAGAUUCAAGUGUCAUGAGCCUCAGUAUGGAAGAAGGAUGGUAUAGGGUAAGGAAGAUACAUUUGAACUGGAAAUACUAUUUACUCAUCAGGGGAAAGGCAAUGCGAGGACACAGUGAGAAAGCAGCAUGCAAGCUAAGGAGAGAGUCUCACCAGAAGCCAACCCUGGUUGCACCUUGAUCUUAAACUUCCAGUCUCCAGAACUAUUUGCAUUUCCACCAAUAGUGAAGAGCAUUGGUUCCUCUUUCUCCUAAUCCUUGUCAAAGAGGUGAAAACUUAAAACACUGAAGACGAAAAUAAUCAAUUUAGAAGAUGAUGUAUUAGCUGGAAAAUUG
rnacentral:lncRNA from 1 species